AAGGAUGGAAGGGAUCCAACUCGAAGGUCCAAUACCAAUCUUGCUCUUUGCCCCUACUCUAUUGCAGACUGUUGUAUUAAAGCGCAAUCAGUUAAAUGCAACAUUGGAUUUUGGUACCAACUAUAGCAAACAAUUAGAGCUUGUGGAUUUACAAAACAAUGAAAUAACUAAUUAUAAACCAGAAGCUAAUAAAGGCAUCCAAGUAAUUAUUUUUACAGAUUGGCAGAUAAUCCAGUGUGCCGAGAAGCAGGGAAUCAACA